rnacentral:rRNA from 1 species
GAUGAACGCUGGCGGCGUGCCUAAUACAUGCAAGUCGAGCGAACGGACGAGAAGCUUGCUUUUCUGAUGUUAGCGGCGGACGGGUGAGUAACACGUGGAUAACCUACCUAUAAGACUGGGAUAACUUCGGGAAACCGGAGCUAAUACCGGAUAAUAUUUUGAACCGCAUGGUUCAAAAGUGAAAGACGGUCUUGCUGUCACUUAUAGAUGGAUCCGCGCUGCAUUAGCUAGUUGGUAAGGUAACGGCUCACCAAGGCAACGAUGCAUAGCCGACCUGAGAGGGUGAUCGGCCACACUGGAACUGAGACACGGUCCAGACUCCUACGGGAGGCAGCAGUAGGGAAUCUUCCGCAAUGGGCGAAAGCCUGACGGAGCAACGCCGCGUGAGUGAUGAAGGUCUUCGGAUCGUAAAACUCUGUUAUUAGGGAAGAACAUAUGUGUAAGUAACUGUGCACAUCUUGACGGUACCUAAUCAGAAAGCCACGGCUAACUACGUG